CUACGGGGGGCAGCAGUAAGGAAUAUUGGGCAAUGGACGCAAGUCUGACCCAGCCAUGCCGCGUGCAGGAUGACGGCCCUACGGGUUGUAAACUGCUUUUAUACGAGAAAAAACUCCUGAUCGUGAAUCAGGACUGAUGGUAUCGUAAGAAUAAGCAUCGGCUAACUCCGUGCCAGCAGCCGCGGUAAUACGGAGGAUGCAAGCGUUAUCCGGAUUCAUUGGGUUUAAAGGGUGCGUAGGCGGAAUGAUAAGUCAGUGGUGAAAUCCUACAGCUCAACUGUAGAACUGCCAUUGAUACUGUUGUUCUUGAGUACAUUUGAAGUGGGCGGAAUGUGUCAUGUAGCGGUGAAAUGCAUAGAGAUGACACAGAACACCGAUCGCGAAGGCAGCUCACUAAACUGUAACUGACGCUGAGGCACGAAAGCGUGGGGAUCAAACAGGAUUAGAUACCCGCGUAGUC
rnacentral:rRNA from 1 species